AACCUUUACACUGCACGACAGUGCGAUAGGGGGACUCCGAGUGCGAGGGCAUAGAGCCCUCGCUUUUGUACACCGUAAGGUGGUGUACGAAUAAGAACUGGGCAAGACCGGUGCCAGCCGCCGCGGUAAUACCGGCAGUUCGAGUGAUGGCCGAUUUUAUUGGGCCUAAAGCGUUCGUAGCUGGCCGAUCAAGUCUGUCGGGAAAUCUGCUCGCCUAACGAGCAGGCGUCCGGCGGAAACUGAUCGGCUUGGGACCGGAAGACUCGAGGGGUACGUCCGGGGUAGGAGUGAAAUCCUGUAAUCCUGGACGGACCACCGAUGGCGAAAGCACCUCGAGAGCACGGAUCCGACAGUGAGGAACGAAAGCUGGGGUCUCGAACCGGAUUAGAUACCCGGGUAGUCCCAGCUGUCAACGAUGCCCGCUAGGUAUGGCGCAGGCUACGAGCCUGUGCUAUGCCGUAGCGAAGGCGCUAAGCGGGCCGCCUGGGAAGUACGUUCGCAAGAAUGAAACUUAA
rnacentral:rRNA from 1 species